rnacentral:pre_miRNA from 1 species
UGAUGAUAAUGAUGGCGAUGAUAAUGAUGAUGAUGAUAAUGAUGAUGUUAAUGAUGAUGAUCAUCAUCAUUAUCAUCAUCAUCAUCUUCGACAGAC